CCCCUUCUCGCGCCGCCGCCGCCCCUGCUCUCACUUAGACCCGCAGCGCCGUCCGCCGCGCCGAGAUGCUGCGGGCCUGUCAUUUAUCCGGCGUGACCUCCACCGCCCAGGUAAGGAUCAGGGCGCCGGAAGAGAGUGUGUGGUGACGGGCAACCUACUGAAAGUGGGGGAGGCUUUGUCUCUGCCUAGGCCCGGGGACAAAGGCGUGUCUCCGGGCCGCCUUUAUCGCGAGAGUGUCGGGUGGGCCCGUGAAGCAGUUAAUUCGGGAGUUUGCCAGACUGGGAUGACUUGAGGGUUAUUGCUGAGCGGGAUGGGGCAUUGAGGAGAAGGUGGCGGGGAGGCGGGCAUAGGACGGGAGGCACGGCCUAGGGGACGUGCCAUCCAAUCAGCCCUGCGCUGUCCCAGUCUAGGACCAAUCGAGGCUACUGGCGCUCGGGUCGCCGGUUGGGCGCGUGAUAGGUUUCGCACAGUCGGUGGUUGAAGGUCGACAGGGAAAAACUACACUUCCCAGCAGGAUACGCACAGCCUUGUCUUAUUGCAUCUUAGUAAGGCCGUUCUUGGACUGCUGGAGUCCGCGUUUUAGGGGUCAAGGUUGUAAUUAUCACGGAGGAGGGAUUGCCCUUCUUUUUGUAGCUGAGAACACCUCUUGAGCUCUUCGUUCUCUGAACAAAAAUGAAAGGUUGUAGUUUAUGGAGCUCGAACUCUUGGUGCUCAAGGAAGGUUAGGCGACAUGACCUUGUGCUCAUUUCUGAGAUUAGCCUGUGUCUCCAGGUGCUGGGACAACUUUGGCACACAUUCAAGGAGGUUAGAGACCCAGUUCCUUUUAUUUCUGCAUGAUUGUCAAAGUAAUUUGCUAAAAUUAAAAAUAAAAAAGGUAAACCUAUUCCCACUGCUCACAAUUAAAGAAAAUUGGUAUUUUGGCAAAAUGUGAUGUUGCAAAACAGGUACUGUGACUCAUGCAAUUGAGCAAAAUCCCUAGACAUAGUGAGUUAGAAAUCAUAAAAAUCAAACUUAAUUUUUUCUUUCAAGUUUUCUUAUUUCCCCUUUCAUUUUAAGGGUAAGAGAAGCAGCCUCUUCCAUAGGAAAGUGGGGUGUGUGUUGGUUUUCUAUUGCUAUAUAACAAAUGCCACAUAUUGAGCAGCUUAAAACAAAACCGUUUCUGGACAUGAAUGGAAAUUCCCAGGGUAGGGGUCAAAUCAGAGCUGCAGUUGCCAGCCACAGCCAUAGCCACAGCAAUAUGGGAUCCAAGCUGCGUCUGUGACCUACACUACAGCUCAUGGCAAUGCUGGAUCCUUAACCCACUGAGCAAGGCCAGGUAUGGAACCCUCAUCCUCAUGGAUACUAGUUGGGUUUGUUGUGGCUGAGCCACAACGAACUCCUGAAUUGUAGUAUUGAGUAACCAGAUUGUAGAUGAGGGGAAGCAUCUCUCUGUAAAAUAUGUCAAAUUAAAAAUGAAAAAUAGAAUUAGAGACCACUUUUUGCAACUUCCAAUAAAUUAAUGGAUCUAGGUAUUGUAUAUUAACACAAUUGAUAACAUUGCAAAAAGAAAGGCAAUCAGGCAUUGUGUGCCUCCUGAUGAGAGAACACACCACCAGCUAAAGUCUUGCCAGGAAUUCCCUGGUGGCUCAAUGGAUUAAGGAUCCACUGCUGUGGCUCUGGUUAUUGCUGUAGUGAGGGUUUUUAUCCCUGGCCUGGAACUUGCGCAUGCCUUGAACACAGCAAAAUAACUACAUCAGAAAAGUCUUUCCAAAGAGAGUAAACCAGAGUCUGAGCAAGUGUCUGGUUCCAGCUACAGCCUGCAGGAAAUACAGAGGACAGGAAUGUGUUAAUUUGUGCCUUGAACAAAAUCCAUUCUGUGGAAAAUUCUACAGGUCAAACAAGAAGAUUCUUCAACAGAAUAAUUACAGGAGGGAACACCUGUAGAUUAAAAGAGACUUAGAAAACAUCUUUUUUUUUUUUUUUUUUUUUUUUUUAAACAGGCAAGACUAAACUAUGGUAUCAAGAGAUUCAUACUUGGGUGAUAAAACAGUAAUAAAACUUAAAUUUCCUGACUUUUAAAGCUCUAUUUAGAAUAUGAAAUGUGGCGUUCCCAUCGUGGCACAGUGGUUAAGGAAACAUGAGGUUGUGGGUUUGAUUCCCUGGCCUUGCUCAGUUGGUGAAGGAUCCGGUGUUGCUGUGAGCUGUGGUGUAGGUUGCAGACACAGCUCAGAUCCCACGUUGCUGUGGCUCUGGCGUAGGCCGGCAGCUACAGCUCUGAUUGGACCCCUCGCCUGGGAACCUCCAUGUGCUGCAGGUACGGCCCUAGAAAAGACCCCCCCAAAAAUAUACAAAUAAAAAAUAAAAAAUAGAAUAUGAAAUGCAACAUAGACUGAGAGUAGCCUAAUGAGUAGGAUACUUAAGUUUUUUAGAUCAGGAGCCACUAUUUCAGAUAAAAACUGUAUUAAUUUGAGUCGGUACAAUUUUUUUAAUAAAGAAGUGUGAAACUUUUUGUUGCUGCUAUUUUUUGGUCAUAAAAGGUAAUUUUUUUCACAUUUUAUCCCUUUUUUAAUCAAGGUGCAUAUUACACUUGGUGCUUUUUACAGUUUAAUUGAAAAUAUUUUUUUGAAAGCUCAGUUUUCCAAAACAAAAACAGAAAGUUCUGGUCAUGGCUCAGAGGAAACGAAUCUGACUAGUAUCCAUGAGGACGCAGGUUUGAUACCUGACCUCACUUAGUGAGUCAAGGAUCCAGCAUUGCUGUGAGCUUUGGUAGGUUACAGACCUGGCUCUGAUCUGACAUGGCCGUGGUGUAUACUGGCUGGUAUAGCUCUGAUUCGACCUCUAGCCUGGGAACCUCCAUAUGCUGCAGGUGUGGCUCUAAAAAAAAGACAAAAACAAAAGCAAAAAUGUUCAGAAAUAUUCUGAAAAAGAAUAUUUCUCUCCCAGAAAUAUUCUGGAAGAGAGGACUAGUUGUACCUGAUUAAAACCUAAUUCUAAAAUGCAAUGGUUAAAACAUUUAUGAUGUUAGUCUUUGAAUAGAAGUGUGGGAAUAGGUGGAACAGUGGAACAAAUUAGGAAAUCUGAAUAUAUAUCAAGGAAUUGGAUAUAUUUUAAGUUGGCAUUUCAGUUUGUUGGAAAAAAUGGCUUAUCCAGUCUGUGAUUUAGGGACAGCUGAAUAGGCAUUUAGGAAAAAAUAAAAUUGAAUCUAUACUUUAUACUUUACACUGGAUUCAAAGAUUUAAAUAUAAAAGAAUGAAACCAUGAGAGUCAAACCAUUAUUUUAUACAGUG
rnacentral:lncRNA from 1 species